AUAGCUUUGGCUACCAGGCACUGGGCUGCUGAACACUGGCCUCUCCCCUGUAGCUGCCCCUCAGUGUCCUCUGCUGAACCCAGGACCAUGGUCAGUCACGGCCCUGCUCUGCCAGCACUGCCUCCAGCCUCACACAGCAGGACCCCCUCCUGUACCACCGUAGACAGCUGGGAACGGGGAAGGUGCAUCCUAAUGUCCCUGUGCAUUCCCAGCAUUGGGAAGGGCCCGUGACGCACUCUCACCAGCUAUAGGAGCUUCACCUAAGCCUGUGAGCAGGACUGCACUGAUGUGGAAAUAAAGUAUGUGGAACUCAGCUGUGCACCCCGUCCCUAGGCAGGAGAAUUUCCCACGGUCCCGUGCUCUGGAGCAGGAGCCGGGCCUGAGUGCACAGCAGAGCUAUACAGCACAGCACAGCCGCCUCUACGGAAGGAAUCCAAUGGAUCCUCACCCUGGGGCCUGCUGAGUGCUUUUACUUCUGUUGGAGGAUCAGGGGUAAACCUAGGAAGCUAAUAAUCUAUUCAGUCACAUGGGAAUAAAUGGGUUUGGACUCCUAGAUGCUGGUUCGUCUUUUUUUUUUUUUAAGAUUUUAUUUGGGAGAGCGAGCACAAGCAGGGGCACUGGCAGAGGGAGAGGGAGUAGCAGGCUCCCCGCCCGGCAGGGAGCCCGACGCGGGGCUUGAUAUCCGAGACCUGGGGUCAUGACCCGGGCGGAAGGCCGGCUCCCAAGGGGCUGGGCCUCCCCGGCGCCCCUACUUUCAUCUUCAUAUUGAGAGUUCCCAGUGGCCUCCACUCAGGCGGUGCCCUGCGUUUGAGGCUGGUACGCCAGGGCUUUCUCUUCCCUCACGGAAGCACCCCGUAGCGCAGCCAGGCAAGAGCGCGAGCGCCCCCACGGCCCAGGGGCGGAGCCGGGAGGCCGGCUUAGGCUCGCGGAGCCCAGGUCGAAGUUCAUUGGCUCGCGGGCACGCGUGACAGGUCCCGAGCCAAUGGAAGGCCAGACUCGCCGACGGGCCCGCCUAGCACGGCGGCUUCCGGUUGGGCAUCGACCCCCAGCGUGGGUCGCGAGCUGCGGCCGUCGCGGGCUGCGGGGAACGGCGGGUGCUCGUCUCUCCGCAGUCGCUCCUCGCCAGCCGUGCGGCUCGGAUUCCAACCCGAGCUCCGCGGCCACGUCCGGUCCAAGCCCUGCCUCGGGCCCGCGCCCACCGGAGGUUACCCCACCUCACGGCCGAGGCCGCAGCGGCCCAGCCCACGCCCCGGGGCCGGCUCGACUGAGCUCGGGCCGGAGAGGCCGCGGCGGAGCUGCGGGCACCCUGCUGAGCACGGCCCUGCGCGCCCCCCCCCCGCCCCGAGCGGUGACGUCACCGCCCUCGCCGGCGAUUGGCCCAGGGCGGGCCGCGGCAGCAAAUGGGCGCCUGGCACCGGGCGCGGCUCUGCAAAUCUUUACUCCGCGGCGGCCUCCCGCCGAUUCCCGGGCCGCUGCUCCGCGUCCCCGCUUUUCCUCCUUCGUGACUACCCGUCCGGAGCAGCUGCCCGAGGAGGGUAGAGGGCACAGGGUCAAGGUACUGGCUUUCACAAGGCAGCACUCACCUUGCGCCUCUCGCGGUGUGCGCCGGUGUGUGAACCGUCUCUUCCCUCUGCUGCACACGGUUCUACAGAGUAGACGGCACCCUCUCCUCUCCCCAGCCUUUGCAGCACCGAACGACGUGGAUAGGACUCGGAGCUUCAGUGACCGGACCAAGGACACAGGCACCACCUGCAGAGGCAAAAACGUGGACCCCGCCCGGCCCCUGGCUCCCAAACGCUCUGCUUUGCGCGGGUGGGAAGAGCACUGUACGUGGAGUCGGUGGCCCAGAUUUCAGCCCCCCGCCCCUCUUGGACCUAAGUAGUGUGAUGGCAUAAGGGUUACUUUCUCUGGGAGUGCUCUCUGCCAAAUGGGGGUAAUCCCGGUUCCCCAGAUGACCUGAGAUAACGUGCCUGACACGGGGAGCUGGAGGGGCUCAAAUCCUAGGACGGCGGCUGAGGGCAGGGCGGCUUACCCAGCCGGCGCCUCCUCUGUGGACCAAGGAGCUUGCCUGAGUCCGAGGGAGGACGGGGCAGACGCCCCCGUUUAGGCAGCCCAGACUCGACCUGAGUCUGGUGGGAUGGAUAACCUGGGUAGAAAUCCUCGAACAUGCCGGUCGAUACGAGCUGUAUCCUCAAGGAGACGAUUGCGCGGCCCGGGCAUGGCCGAGGAGCGCCGCGGGUCCUGGUUCGGCUUCGGUUUCUGCGGCUUCGGGCAGGCGCCGGGCUCCGGGCGCGGGCGCCAGGUGCUCAGCCCCGAGCCGCUGCAGACACCCGGCUCGGGCGCCGACGUCCGCCGCGUGAGCGCCAGUUGGAGCUACACCGCCCUCGUGACCCGUGAGCGCCCCCCUCCGGCCCUCCUCCGCCCCGGGCCCCGCGUGCCAGGCGCGAAAGCGCCCCAGCCCGCUCUCCGCCCCCCCGCCCCGCA
rnacentral:lncRNA from 12 species